CGGUGAGUGGUGAAAUUUGGGAAACACACCUGCCCCAGAAGCAGGCGCGCGAAAGCGCUUGUCGGUUCAAGUCCGACCUCGCCGACCA
rnacentral:tRNA from 1 species